GACGAACGCUGGCGACGCGCUUAACACAUGCAAGUCGAACGGAAAGGCCUGCUUUCCCUUGUGGAUUGCGGGUACUCGAGUGGCGAACGGGUGAGUAACACGUGAGUGAUCUGCCCCCAACUUGGGUAUAAGCCUGGGAAACUGGGUCUAAUUCCCGAUAGGACUGCAGGGUGGUGCCUGUGGUGGAAAACGAUUUUCUAGUGGUUGGGGAUGAGCUCGCGGCCUAUCAGCUUGUUGGUGGGGUAAUGGCCUACCAAGGCGGCGACGGGUAGCCGGCCUGAGAGGGUGGACGGCCACAUUGGGACUGAGAUACGGCCCAGACUCCUACGGGAGGCAGCAAUGGGGAAUAUUGCACAAUGGGCGGAAGCCUGAUGCAGCGACGCCGCGUGGGGGAUGACGGCCUUCGGGUUGUAAACUCCUUUCGACCGCGAGGAAGCCACCUGGUUGGAAGGGUGGUGACGGUAGUGGUAGAAGAAGCACCGGCUAACUACGUG
rnacentral:rRNA from 1 species